ACUGCAUUAUGAGCACUUAAA
rnacentral:miRNA from 1 species